rnacentral:lncRNA from 7 species
UGUAGUGUUGCCUUAAUUUGGUUUCUGUCUGAACGUAAGCAAAGAGAGAACAGCCUGAGCCAGGCGUUGUGGGGCUACUUUAAGCAGCAAGAUGCAUUAAAGAAGGGCAAAUGCCUGCAUCUGAAUCUGUAAUUUAUGGUGUUUACUGCCAGAGAUGGAGGAACGUGUCCAUAGACCUGACCUUCAAAAUCUUGCGACUUAAAAUACUUUUAACGCCUGUAUUAUUCUGGAAAUGUGAAUCCACAAUGCAGCUGUGGUGAGAUGGAUGUGCUCGCCAGAAUGAACACACUGGAAAAACGAGAAGGGCAUAAAUAGCAACUGUCCGGAUGUUACUGCAGAAAAAUAAAUUGGAAGCUGAUCAUAAGAUCCAAGUGGGUAUUUAGAGUCAGUGUAAAUAGAAAUACCAAAUUAAGCAAAUAACAUGUAAUUUUGAGAUGAAUUGCUCUAUGUGCCAAGUGUAAAACUUUGCACUCAAUUUGUGUGGUAUGAUAACAGGAGACCAUGGAGACAUUUUAGAACCUAGAAUCACACGGGCAAACUGUAAGCCACGUAAAAUAAUAUGUAACACAAUCACGCAUGCAGUAUGAUUGUAAGCAAAACUGCAAUACAGUUAAAGAAGACAAGUCUAGCUCAGGAAGAAGGUUCCCAUUACUGUGUAACCUGGAGGAAAAACAGACCAGGCAUCCAAAUUUCAGCCGUACUGGAUGCCGAUUCAAGAAAACACUAAAAAUCACACAUAGAAGUGUAUCCAAACACAGGCAAAAUGAGUGCUUGUCCUAAUUUUCAUGUUACAGUGCCCUGCUAGUCGCUAUUUUACCCUUUAGUUCUGGAGCAGGUCCACAUAAAAUAAUUUGCAUGGCGGAAGCUAGACCAGUGAUUCAGAUGCAGAACGGCAACAAAAGGGAUUUUUCUGCUGUAUCUUUGAUUCAUGACAAGGGCUGAGCAUGCAUCCAGAUGGAGAAAUUAGAGAAGACAAAAAGGACCCCAGAAAAGGAAACGGAGAACUGUAUAUCAUCUUCAUUUAAAUAAUGAAAGCCAUAAGAAUUAAUAAGUGUACCAAGCUGUUGGAAUAAAAUUGAGACAAGGAGCGGAGCUCUGCGAAAUCUCCCCCACCAUUGAAUAUGACAUAAAUAAUCUG